UGGUGGCCAUGUGGAGGAGCUGGGAGAGUGGCACCCCUGGAGAGGGUGUGGAAGCUCCGUUGCCUCCACCGUCUUUUCCGCCUGCUGUUCCUGAGUUUUACAUAGUGUCCUCAGCUGAAGAAAGAGGAAGUCUGGAGUCCAUUUCCGGCAGUUAGCAGGGAGCUGUUUUCCUCUCUCUGACAUUAGCAAGAUUCAGAAGGUAUGAGAUUGGACUUGGAUCUUCUUUUUCUGACAUAUGCAUUUAAUACUAUACAUUUCCCGCUAAGCACCAUUUUUACCGCAUGCCACAAGUUUUGGGUUCACUGAACUGGGACUAUCCUGGUACCUGAAAAGGAUAAACUAGAAUGUGCUCGUGUUGGGGUGGAUAAAUCCUGAAGAAAGCUCACAGUCUGACAAGUUCAACCGCAGUUGCCAAUCUCUGCAGAGCUGCUAAGCAAAGCCCUCUUGAGCUUGGGGAAAGAACUCCUGCCUUGGCCCAGACGAGCCAUGCUCUGCAACUGAUCUUCCCCCAAGCCUUUUAAUGAAGUUUGACACUUGGCAGAGGCGGGGAGCUGAGGCACAUGCUCUGAAUGAGCUCUCAUUCCUAAGAGGUUUUGGCAUCACGGGAGCAUACCUCCUGCCCUGCUCUUCCUCCAGUUGUCCACCUCCACUCUCAGGGCAGGGGCCGGGGAGGCUGCAGUUAGCUCCAUGCCAAGAAGCCACAUCAGGCCACAUCUGGCUGGAGACAUUGGCUGUCAGCACUCAUUGCCAGGGUUCCAGUCCAAGAUGCUCAGUACAAAGUCCCAGGGAUCCUUCCUAGACGAAGCACUCUAAGUUUCUUCUGUAGAGGCAGUGCUGGCUGGGCAGGUGGCAAAGCAAUCGUAUGAUGGACACAAAGUGGCAUAUAUUAUCCAGCCUUCUGGGCAUGACAUGGCAGAUUCAUGAAUUCAUGAAUUCUUUCAUUCAACAAAUGAGGAUGAAGUUCCUGCCACCACCAGAUACGCUUCUACCUGCCUGUGAGGACUGCAGCAGUCAACCGGGUUGAAAGCAGCUCGUAUCCUUAUGGAGCCUGCAUUGCUCUAGGGAGAGACAGCUGAGAAAACAUUACAUUCACGGGAUCAUUA
rnacentral:lncRNA from 1 species